GACGAACGCUGGCGGUGUGCUUAACACAUGCAAGUCGAACGGUAAGGCCCUUUCGGGGGUACACGAGUGGCGCACGGGUGAGUAACACGUGAGUAACCUGCCCUCAUCUCUGGGAUAACAGUCGGAAACGGUUGCUAAUACUGGAUAUGAGCUUGCAAGGCAUCUUGUGGGUUGGAAAGAUUUUUUUUGGUUGGGGAUGGACUCGCGGCCUAUCAGCUUGUUGGUGAGGUAGUGGCUCACCAAGGCUUCGACGGGUAGCCGGCCUGAGAGGGCGACCGGCCACAUUGGGACUGAGAUACGGCCCAAACUCCUACGGGAGGCAGCAGUGGGGAAUAUUGCACAAUGGACGGAAGUCUGAUGCAGCAACGCCGCGUGCGGGAUGACGGCCUUCGGGUUGUAAACCGCUUUCAAUUGUGACGAAGCUUUUUUGUGACGGUAGCAGUAGAAGAAGCACCGGCUAACUACGUG
rnacentral:rRNA from 1 species